rnacentral:rRNA from 1 species
AGAGUUUGAUCCUGGCUCAGGAUGAACGCUAGCGGCAGGCUUAACACAUGCAAGUCGAGGGGCAGCACGAAUAGCAAUAUUUGGUGGCGACCGGCGCACGGGUGAGUAACGCGUAUGUAAUCUACCUCUAACUGGGGCAUAGCUCCGAGAAAUCGGAAUUAAUACCCCAUAAUAUUAAUGAAAGACAUCUUUUAUUAAUUAAAGUUUUAACGGUUAGAGAUGAGCAUGCGUGCCAUUAGCUUGUUGGUAGGGUAACGGCCUACCAAGGCUACGAUGGCUAGGGGGUCUGAGAGGAUGAUCCCCCACACUGGUACUGAGACACGGACCAGACUCCUACGGGAGGCAGCAGUGAGGAAUAUUGGUCAAUGGGCGCAAGCCUGAACCAGCCAUGCCGCGUGAAGGAUGAAUGUCCUAUGGAUUGUAAACUUCUUUUGUACGGGACGAAACUUUUGCACGUGUGCAAAACUGACGGUACUGUACGAAUAAGCAUCGGCUAACUCCGUGCCAGCAGCCGCGGUAAUACGGAGGAUGCAAGCGUUAUCCGGAUUUAUUGGGUUUAAAGGGUGCGUAGGCGGGAAAAUAAGUCAGUGGUGAAAUCCUACAGCUUAACUGUAGAACUGCCAUUGAUACUGUUAUUCUUGAGUAUAGUUGAAGUGGGUGGAAUGUGUGGUGUAGCGGUGAAAUGCUUAGAUAUCACACAGAACGCCGAUUGCGAAGGCAGCUCACUAAGCUAUUACUGACGCUGAGGCACGAAAGCGUGGGGAUCAAACAGGAUUAGAUACCCUGGUAGUCC